UACGGGGGGGGCAAGCGUUGUUCGGAAUUACUGGGCGUAAAGGGCUCGUAGGCGGCCAACUAAGUCAGACGUGAAAUCCCUCGGCUUAACCGGGGAACUGCGUCUGAUACUGGAUGGCUUGAGUUUGGGAGAGGGAUGCGGAAUUCCAGGUGUAGCGGUGAAAUGCGUAGAUAUCAGGAGGAACACCAAUGGCGAAGGCAGCUCACUGGGACGGUACUGACGCUGAGACGCGAAAGCGUGGGGAGCAAACAGG
rnacentral:rRNA from 1 species